rnacentral:rRNA from 1 species
UCGAUGAGUAGGGCGGGACACGUGGUAUCCUGUCUGAAUAUGGGGGGACCAUCCUCCAAGGCUAAAUACUCCUGACUGACCGAUAGUGAACCAGUACCGUGAGGGAAAGGCGAAAAGAACCCCGGCGAGGGGAGUGAAAAAGAACCUGAAACCGUGUACGUACAAGCAGUGGGAGCACAGGUUUACCUGUGUGACUGCGUACCUUUUGUAUAAUGGGUCAGCGACUUAUAUUCUGUAGCAAGGUUAACCGAAUAGGGGAGCCGGAGGGAAACCGAGUCUUAAUUGGGCGUUAAGUUGCAGGGUAUAGACCCGAAACCCGGUGAUCUAGCCAUGGGCAGGUUGAAGGUUGGGUAACACUAACUGGAGGACCGAACCGACUAAUGUUGAAAAAUUAGCGGAUGACCUGUGGCUGGGGGUGAAAGGCCAAUCAAACCGGGAGAUAGCUGGUUCUCCCCGAAAGCUAUUUAGGUAGCGCCUCGUGAAUUCAUCUCCGGGGGUAGAGCACUGUUUCGGCUAGGGGGCCAUCCCGGCUUACCAACCCGAUGCAAACUGCGAAUACCGGAGAAUGUUAUCACGGGAGACACACGGCGGGUGCUAACGUCCGUCGUGAAGAGGGAAACAACCCAGACCGCCAGCUAAGGUCCCAAAGUCAUGGUUAAGUGGGAAACGAUGUGGGAAGGCCCAGACAGCCAGGAUGUUGGCUUAGAAGCAGCCAUCAUUUAAAGAAAGCGUAAUAGCUCACUGGUCGAGUCGGCCUGCGCGGAAGAUGUAACGGGGCUAAACCAU